UACGAGGGUGAAAAGGUAACAAAACACACACCGGGGACUGAGAUUUUUUCCGCCAAUAUUUUCCGAUCGCUGCGGAGCUUAAACAGUGGAAACCAUGCUACUUUCGACGGUUUCUAGCUCCGCGCCCAUCUUCCGCAUCGGUGAACCACCAGCGUCCGUAAUUGGUUGGAAGCAAGCGUUGAGAUUUCGGAGGACGACGAAGCCUAGGGCUAUCAUCUCUUGCGAUUAUUCAUGCAUCGAGGUUAGGGAUAUAUGCUACCGUCCUCCUGGAACAGAGUUGAAUAUUUUGAAUGGUGUUAAUCUUUCUCUCCGUGAGAAGAGCUUUGGAUUGAUUUUUGGCAAGAGUGGGAGCGGCAAAACUACGCUUUUGCAGCUUCUUGCUGGGCUGAACAAACCUACGUCAGGUUCCAUUUGUAUCCAAAGAUAUGGGGAUGAUGGGCAGCUAAAGGCGGAUCCUGAGUUGUUACCCACUGAGAAGGUGGGCAUUGUUUUCCAGUUUCCAGAGAGAUUCUUUGUUGCAGAUAAUGUGCUCGACGAGAUUACUUUUGGUUGGCCAAGGCAAAAGGGUAGUUUGCAGUUAAAGGAGCAUCUGACUUCGAACCUCCAGAGAGCAUUUAAUUCGGUUGGGUUAGACAGCAUCCCACUUGAUAAAGACCCCCAGUUACUUAGUGGAGGCUAUAAGCGUCGGCUUGCACUAGCUAUUCAACUGGUGCAAACUCCUGAUUUAUUGAUUCUGGAUGAGCCCCUCGCUGGUCUUGAUUGGAAAGCACGCGCAGAUGUUGCAAAGCUCUUGAAGCACCUAAAGAAGGAACUGACUUUACUUGUUGUAAGUCAUGACUUAAGAGAGUUAGCAACCUUGGUCGACCAGUCAUGGAGAAUGGAAUCAGGUGGUGUUCUUGUUGCAGAGCGUCCACCAGUUUAGUUCGAUAUUUAUUACUGCCGAAGGUCCAUACCAGCUCCAACACCAAGUCUGCAAAGCAAUUUUUGGUUAUUAUCGGGUUCGAUCACAAGCAGGAAAUAGUGCAUGCCUAAACGCCAAUGUAUCAAAAAAAUUGUCUUUAGAUGUUCUCCGUUUCCAGCUGAGUGGGAAUUUCUUAGCUCAUACUGGAUCCAUCUUUUACUUGUCUUGUUACAAGGGCUCACCUUUUUGGACAUUAAUCCAGUAGAAUUUGCUUUGCUGUUUUUUGGUUCUGUCAUGCCGCUGUAUAUUUUGCUUUCCAUUAUGGAGUCUUCUGGAUGUACUUUUCUAUGGAAAACUUGUAUAAUCUGCACUCGCAAUAAAUUCAUGUUUGUUAGAAGCAAGCUUUGUAUUAAUCAUCUGAAGUUUGGUAUA